CCUACGGGUGGCAGCAGUGAGGAAUAUUGGUCAAUGGACGAGAGCCUGAACCAGCCAAGUCGCGUGAAGGAUGACGGCCCUACGGGUUGUAAACUUCUUUUGUAAGGGAAUAAAACGAGGCACGUGUGCCUUUUUGAAUGUACCUUAUGAAUAAGCAUCGGCUAACUCCGUGCCAGCAGCCGCGGUAAUACGGAGGAUCCGAGCGUUAUCCGGAUUUAUUGGGGUUAAAGGGAGCGUAGGUGGGACGUCAAGUACGGUGUGAAAUUUGGCGGCUCAACCGUGGAAUUGCAAUUGAUACUGGCAGUCUUGAGUGCAGGAGAGGUAGGCGGAAUGCGUGGUGUAGCGGUGAAAUGCAUAGAUAUCACGAAGAACCCCGAUGGCGAAGGCAGCUUACUGGAGUGUAACUGACGUUGAUGCGCGAAAGUGUGGGUAUCAAACAGGAUUAGAUACCCCUGUAGUC
rnacentral:rRNA from 1 species